rnacentral:rRNA from 1 species
GACGGAGGGUGCAAGCGUUGUUCGGAUUGACUGGGCGUAAAGGGCGUGUAGGCGGUCGGCCAAGUCUGAUGUGAAAGCCCGAGGCUCAGCCUCGGAAGUGCGUCGGAAACUAGUCGGCUGGAGCGCGAUAGAGGAGGGUGGAAUUCCUGGUGUAGCGGUGAAAUGCGUAGAUAUCAGGAGGAACACCGGCGGCGAAGGCGGCCCUCUGGAUCGUUGCUGACGCUGAUACGCGAAAGCGUGGGGAGCAAACAGGAUUUGAUACCCUGGUAGUCCACGCUGUAAACGAUGGGUACUAGGUGUUCGGGGUAUUGACCCCCUGAGUGCCGCAGCUAACGCAUUAAGUACCCCGCCUGGGGACUACGGCCGCAAGGUUAAA